UUGCAGUCGUGGCAGAGGAACCGCAAGUGAUGUUUUGUGUCCCAAAAGAAUGGCUGCCCUGUCCGUUGGGGCUCCCUCUAGAUAAAAAGGCAUGUUUACAAAGAGAAGGAAAAAAAAAAAUGGGUUUGGUUUACUGUUGGUUCAGAUCUGACAUGUUCUGCCAGCAAACGUUGAGCGUACAGUUUGUAAGGGUGAAAACUUGGAGAUCCCAGAGCACGAUUAUGCCACAGCCUGGGAAGCCAGAGAGCUAAAAAACCCAUUCUCCGGUCCUUUACGUCAUCAUUUUAUAUCCCGAGGAAGAAAAUUGGGUCAAAACCCACUUGAACCACAAUGGAAGGUAUUCCACCUCUCGUUACUGGGUUUCUGUCUAAGUGUGAGGUCUACUCUGUCAAGUACC